GAUGAACGCUGGCGGCGUGCCUAAUACAUGCAAGUCGAGCGAACAGACGAGGAGCUUGCUCCUCUGACGUUAGCGGCGGACGGGUGAGUAACACGUGGAUAACCUACCUAUAAGACUGGGAUAACUUCGGGAAACCGGAGCUAAUACCGGAUAACAUAUUGAACCGCAUGGUUCAACAGUGAAAGACGGUCUUGCUGUCACUUAUAGAUGGAUCCGCGCCGCAUUAGCUAGUUGGUAAGGAAACGGCUUAACAAGGCAACGACGCGUAGCCGACCUGAGAGGGUGAUCGGCCACACUGGAACUGAGACACGGUCCAGACUCCUACGGGAGGCAGCAGUAGGGAAUCUUCCGCAAUGGGCGAAAGCCUGACGGAGCAACGCCGCGUGAGUGAAGAAGGUCUUCGGAUCGUAAAACUCUGUUAUUAGGGAAGAACAAAUGUGUAAGUAACUAUGCACGUCUUGACGGUACCUAAUCAGAAAGCCACGGCUAACUACGUG
rnacentral:rRNA from 1 species